UACGGAGGGUGCAAGCGUUGUCCGGAAUCACUGGGCGUAAAGGGCGCGUAGGCGGCUCAUGAAGGCUGUGGUGAAAGUCCGGGGCUCAACCUCGGAUCGGCCGUGGCGACUCGUGGGCUGGAGCACUGUAGAGGCGGGUGGAAUUCCGGGUGUAGCGGUGGAAAUGCGUAGAUAUCAGGAGGAACACCGGUGGUGUAGACGGCUUACUGGACCAUAACUGACGCUGAGACACGAAAGCGUGGGUAGCAAACAGG
rnacentral:rRNA from 1 species